GACGUAGGAUGCAAGCGUUAUCCGGAAUUAUUGGGCGUAAAGCGUACGUAGGCGGUUUCUUAAGUCUGGAGUUAAAGACCGAGGCUCAACCUCGGGAGUGCUCUGGAAACUGAGAGACUGGAGGACGGCAGAGGAAAGUGGAAUUCCUGGUGUAGCGGUGGAAUGCGCAGAUAUCAGGAGGAACACCGGUGGCGAAGGCGGGUCUCUGGGCAGUAACUGACGCUGAGGAGCGAAAGCGUGGGGAGCGAACAGG
rnacentral:rRNA from 1 species